rnacentral:rRNA from 1 species
GACGCACGCUGGCGGCGUGCUUAACACAUGCAAGUCGAACGAAGUGGCGAACGGGUGAGUAAUACGUGGGUAACCUGCCCUCCUUUUUGGGAUAAGCCUUGGAAACGGGGUCUAAUACCGAAUCAAGGGGGAUGGGCUCGCGGGCUAUCAGGUUGUUGGUGGGGGGAUGGCCUACCAAGGCGGUGACGGGUAGCCGGCCUGAGAGGGGGACUGGCCAAAUUGGGAAUGAGAGAAGGCCCAGACUCCUACGGGGGGCAGCAGGGAGGAAUCUUCCGGAAUGGACGAAAGUCUGACGGAGCAACGCCGCGGGAGUGAUGACGGCUGGUGGGUUGUUAAGCUCUGUUAAUCGGGACGCGGUACCGGAAUAGAAAGCCACGGCUAACUACGUGCCAGCAGCCGCGGUAAUAC